rnacentral:rRNA from 1 species
UAACGUAUGAAUAAUACGUGGCGAACGGCUCAGUAACACGUAGUCAACAUAGCCCAAAGGACGUGGAUAACCUCGGGAAACUGAGGAUAAACCGCGAUAGGUCAUAAUUACUGGAAUGUGUUAUGGCCCAAAUCUAUAUGGCCUUUGGAUUGGACUGCGGCCGAUCAGGCUGUUGGUGAGGUAAUGGCCCACCAAACCUUUUACCGGUACGGGCUCUGAGAGGAGGAGCCCGGAGAUGGGCACUGAGACAAGGGCCCAGGCCCUAUGGGGCGCAGCAGGCGCGAAACCUCUGCAAUAGGCGAAAGCCUGACAGGGUUACUCUGAGUGAUUCCCGCUAAGGGAAUCUUUUGG